CCCUUGGAUGUUCUGGGCUGCACACGUGCUACACUGGCAGGUUCAGCGAGCUUCAUGCCCUGAUCUGAAAGGAAUGGGAAAUCUUUUCAAAACCUGCCGUGCUUGGGAUAGAUGUUUGCAAUUAUUCAUCUUCAACGAGGAUUGCCUUGUAAGCGCACGUCAUCAGCGUGCAUUGAAUACGACCCUGUAUUCUGUACACACCGCCCGUCGCUCCUACCGAUUGAAGUUUUCGGUGAGUUGACAGGAGGAUUUUUUUGAAACUGGUUCGCCAGUGGAUUUUAGAUCCAAAUGCCAACGAAUCGAUGGCUUUAGAGGAAGGAGAAGUCGUAACA
rnacentral:rRNA from 1 species